AGCCACGCAGUGAGCACAGAGCGAACUAUUCUUUCGCCUUUUACUAAAGAAUACCGUGUGCGCAUUGCAAUUAGUGGCAUACGCUAAUUUUUGGAGGGAUUUCUUUAAUGGAAAUCC
rfam:Nicotiana sylvestris Nsyl_contig106377, whole genome shotgun sequence.